UUAUGAGAUGAAACUCCUAUUUUAACUUCUAACCGCAUAUAAUUUUUGUUUAUUUUCGUUCGGUUUGGUUUUUCCAACGAGGCUUUUUCUUGAUGCGAAUCUGGAUUUUGAAUUGAGAGUCUCUGAGAAAUUUAUUCUUGAAAGUGAACAUGAUUAUACCCAUACGGUGUUUUACGUGCGGUAAAGUUAUUGGAAAUAAAUGGGAAUCGUAUCUUGGAUUAUUACAAGCUGAAUAUACUGAAGGCGAUGCACUCGAUGCUUUAGGGUUGAAAAGAUACUGUUGUCGACGGAUGCUCCUUGGUCAUGUAGAUCUCAUUGAAAAGUUACUAAAUUAUGCUCCCCUUGAAAAGUAACAGUCUUGUUUGUGACUGCUUGUAAAUAUCAUUUCUGUCUUGUACACUCUGAAAUAAAAUCACCUUUUUUUAAGAAA